GGGUUGUGAGGUUAAGCGACUAAGCGUACACGGUGGAUGCCCUGGCAGUCAGAGGCGAUGAAGGACGUGCUAAUCUGCGAAAAGCGUCGGUAAGGUGAUAUGAACCGUUAUAGCCGGCGAUGUCCGAAUGGGGAAACCCAGUGCAAUUCGUUGCACUAUCGUUAACUGAAUACAUAGGUUAACGAGGCGAACCGGGGGAACUGAAACAUCUAAGUACCCCGAGGAAAAGAAAUCAACCGAGAUUCCCCCAGUAGCGGCGAGCGAACGGGGAGCAGCCCGGAGUCUGAAUCAGCUUGUGUGUUAGUGGAAGCGUCUGGAAAGUCGCAGGGUACAGGGUGAUACUCCCGUACACUAAAACGCACAGGUUGUGAACUCGAAGAGUAGGGCGGGACACGUGGUAUCCUGUCUGAAUAUGGGGGGACCAUCCUCCAAGGCUAAAUACUCCUGACUGACCGAUAGUGAACCAGUACCGUGAGGGAAAGGCGAAAAGAACCCCGGCGAGGGGAGUGAAAAAGAACCUGAAACCGUGUACGUACAAGCAGUAGGAGCCCACUUGUUGGGUGACUGCGUACCUUUUGUAUAAUGGGUCAGCGACUUAUAUUCUGUAGCAAGGUUAACCGUAUAGGGGAGCCGCAGGGAAACCGAGUCUUAACUGGGCGUUAAGUUGCAGGGUAUAGACCCGAAACCCGGUGAUCUAGCCAUGGGCAGGUUGAAGGUUGGGUAACACUAACUGGAGGACCGAACCGACUAAUGUUGAAAAAUUAGCGGAUGACUUGUGGCUGGGGGUGAAAGGCCAAUCAAACCGGGAGAUAGCUGGUUCUCCCCGAAAGCUAUUUAGGUAGCGCCUCGUGAACUCAUCUUCGGGGGUAGAGCACUGUUUCGGCUAGGGGGUCAUCCCGACUUACCAACCCGAUGCAAACUACGAAUACCGAAGAAUGUUAUCACGGGAGACACACGGCGGGUGCUAACGUCCGUCGUGAAGAGGGAAACAACCCAGACCGCCAGCUAAGGUCCCAAAGUCAUGGUUAAGUGGGAAACGAUGUGGGAAGGCCCAGACAGCCAGGAUGUUGGCUUAGAAGCAGCCAUCAUUUAAAGAAAGCGUAAUAGCUCACUGGUCGAGUCGGCCUGCGCGGAAGAUGUAACGGGGCUAAACCAUGCACCGAAGCUGCGGCAGCGACACUAUGUGUUGUUGGGUAGGGGAGCGUUCUGUAAGCCGUUGAAGGUGGCCUGUGAGGGUUGCUGGAGGUAUCAGAAGUGCGAAUGCUGACAUAAGUAACGAUAAUGCGGGUGAAAAACCCGCACGCCGGAAGACCAAGGGUUCCUGUCCAACGUUAAUCGGGGCAGGGUGAGUCGACCCCUAAGGCGAGGCCGAAAGGCGUAGUCGAUGGGAAACAGGUUAAUAUUCCUGUACUCGGUGUUACUGCGAAGGGGGGACGGAGAAGGCUAUGUUGGCCGGGCGACGGUUGUCCCGGUUUAAGCAUGUAGGCGGAUGUUCCAGGUAAAUCCGGAACGUUAUUAACGCUGAGGUGUGAUGACGAGGCACUACGGUGCUGAAGUGACAAAUGCCCUGCUUCCAGGAAAAGCCUCUAAGCAUCAGGUAACAUCAAAUCGUACCCCAAACCGACACAGGUGGUCAGGUAGAGAAUACCAAGGCGCUUGAGAGAACUCGGGUGAAGGAACUAGGCAAAAUGGUGCCGUAACUUCGGGAGAAGGCACGCUGAUGGUAAGUGAAGCGACUUGCUCGUGGAGCUGAAAUCAGUCGAAGAUACCAGCUGGCUGCAACUGUUUAUUAAAAACACAGCACUGUGCAAACACGAAAGUGGACGUAUACGGUGUGACGCCUGCCCGGUGCCGGAAGGUUAAUUGAUGGGGUUAUCCGUAAGGAGAAGCUCUUGAUCGAAGCCCCGGUAAACGGCGGCCGUAACUAUAACGGUCCUAAGGUAGCGAAAUUCCUUGUCGGGUAAGUUCCGACCUGCACGAAUGGCGUAAUGAUGGCCAGGCUGUCUCCACCCGAGACUCAGUGAAAUUGAACUCGCUGUGAAGAUGCAGUGUACCCGCGGCAAGACGGAAAGACCCCGUGAACCUUUACUAUAGCUUGACACUGAACACUGGUCCUUGAUGUGUAGGAUAGGUGGGAGGCUUUGAAGUGUGGACGCCAGUCUGCAUGGAGCCAUCCUUGAAAUACCACCCUUUAAUGGCUGGUGUUCUAACGUGGGCCCGUAAUCCGGGUUGCGGACAGUGUCUGGUGGGUAGUUUGACUGGGGCGGUCUCCUCCUAAAGAGUAACGGAGGAGCACGAAGGUCAGCUAAUCCUGGUCGGACAUCAGGAGGUUAGUGCAAUGGCAUAAGCUGGCUUGACUGCGAGCGUGACGGCGCGAGCAGGUGCGAAAGCAGGUCAUAGUGAUCCGGUGGUUCUGAAUGGAAGGGCCAUCGCUCAACGGAUAAAAGGUACUCCGGGGAUAACAGGCUGAUACCGCCCAAGAGUUCAUAUCGACGGCGGUGUUUGGCACCUCGAUGUCGGCUCAUCACAUCCUGGGGCUGAAGUAGGUCCCAAGGGUAUGGCUGUUCGCCAUUUAAAGUGGUACGCGAGCUGGGUUUAGAACGUCGUGAGACAGUUCGGUCCCUAUCUGCCGUGGGCGCUGGAGAAUUGAGGGGGGCUGCUCCUAGUACGAGAGGACCGGAGUGGACGCAUCACUGGUGUUCGGGUUGUCAUGCCAAUGGCAUUGCCCGGUAGCUAAAUGCGGAAGAGAUAAGUGCUGAAAGCAUCUAAGCACGAAACUUGCCCCGAGAUGAGUUCUCCCUGACUCCUUGAGAGUCCUGAAGGAACGUUGAAGACGACGACGUUGAUAGGCCGGGUGUGUAAGCGCAGCGAUGCGUUGAGCUAACCGGUACUAAUGAACCGUGAGGCUUAACCUUACAACGCCGAAG
rnacentral:rRNA from 1 species